GUUGAGCGUGAAAAAACCCAGCAGCAUUGCAGUUCUUGACACAAACCGGUGCACCUGGCACCUACUACCGUACCCCGUUCAUAGGCACUUAAAUCUUUUGCCUUACCGAUUUAACCUUUUUGAAUGGCUUAUAGACAAUCCAUGUCUCAAUUAUCUCAAGACUACAUUUUUUUAAAUCUUAAUCUCCUCCGUUCCAUCUAUACUGAUUGAAGUUGAUUUAACAAGUGACAUCAUAGCUUUUCACCUGGUCAGUCUGUGAUGGGAAGGAGAUCCUUCAGUUCCGUCCAUUCAUCUUCUCAUUAUUUCACAUGUCCUCAAAUACAGCUGACUUGUACUGUGGACAGACAGGUACGUUUUUAUAUUUAUAAGGUAAAUGUAUGUGUUUAAUAGUACUGCAGAAGUUUGAAUGUAAUUACAAUAAAACGAAUGACAAUACUAUUGUCUUGUAGGAUUGUAUUCUCUGUCCAUCAAGUCAAUAGGGAAACAAUGUCAACAGACACGGUGUUCCAGACUCCAGAUAGAUACCUAGUUUUAGAUAGAUGUUCCAGACUCCAGACAAGGUGUUCCAGACUCCAGACAAGGUGUUCCAGACACGGUGUUCCAGACUCCAGACACGGUGUUCCAGACUCCAGACACGGUGUUCCAGACACGGUGUUCCAGACUCCAGAUAGAUACCUAGUUUUAGAUAGAUGUUCCAGACUCCAGACACGGUGUUCCAGACUCCAGAUAGAUACCUAGUUUUAGAUAGAUGUUCCAGACUCCAGACAAGGUGUUCCAGACUCCAGACAAGGUGUUCCAGACUCCAGGCACGGUGUUCCAGACUCCAGAUAGAUACCUAGUUUUAGAUAGAUGUUCCAGACUCCAGACAAGGUGUUCCAGACUCCAGAUAGAUACCUAGUUUUAGAUAGAUGUUCCAGACUCCAGACAAGGUGUUCCAGACUCCAGAUAGAUACCUAGUUUUAGAUAGAUGUUCCAGACUCCAGACACGGUGUUCCAGACUCCAGAUAGAUACCUAGUUUUAGAUAGAUGUUCCAGACUCCAGACAAGGUGUUCCAGACUCCAGGCACGGUGUUCCAGACUCCAGACACGGUGUUCCAGACUCCAGAUAGAUACCUAGUUUUAGAUAGAUGUUCCAGACUCCAGACAAGGUGUUCCAGACUCCAGAUAGAUACCUAGUUUUAGAUAGAUGUUCCAGACUCCAGACAAGGUGUUCCAGACUCCAGACAAGGUGUUCCAGACUCCAGACAAGGUGUUCCAGACUCCAGGCACGGUGUUCCAGACUCCAGAUAGAUACCUAGUUUUAGAUAGAUGUUCCAGACUCCAGACAAGGUGUUCCAGACUCCAGACACGAUGUUCCAGACUCCAGACAAGGUGUUCCAGACUCCAGACAAGGUGUUCCAGACUCCAGACAAGGUGUUCCAGACUCCAGGCACGGUGUUCCAGACUCCAGACAA